rnacentral:rRNA from 1 species
UGCGUAGGCGGACUAAUAAGUCAGUGGUGAAAUCUUUCGGCUCAACCGGGAAACUGCCAUUGAUACUGUUAGUCUUGAGUUCGGUUGAGGUAGGCGGAAUGUGUAAUGUAGCGGUGAAAUGCUUAGAUAUUACACAGAACACCAAUUGCGUAGGCAGCUUACUAGACCGACACUGACGCUGAGGCACGAAAGCGUGGGUAGCGAACAGGAUUAGAUACCCUGGUAGUCC